UGGGGAAUAUUGCACAAUGGGCGAAAGCCUGAUGCAGCGACGCCGCGUGAGGGAAGAAGGUUUUCGGAUUGUAAACCUCUGUCUUUGGGGACGAGAACGGACGGUACCCAAGGAGGAAGCCACGGCUAACUACGUGCCAGCAGCCGCGGUAAUACGUAGGUGGCAAGCGUUGUCCGGAAUUACUGGGUGUAAAGGGAGCGUAGGCGGGAAUGCAAGUUGAAUGUGAAAUUUACGGGCUCAACUCGUGAACUGCGUUCAAAACUGUAUUUCUUGAGUUAAGUAGAGGCAGGCGGAAUUCCCUGUGUAGCGGUGAAAUGCGCAGAUAUAGGGAGGAACACCAGUGGCGAAGGCGGCCUGCUGGGCUUGUACUGACGCUGAGGCUCGAAAGCGUGGGUAGCAA
rnacentral:rRNA from 1 species